CUCGCUUCUCGUCGUUCAAACCAGAAGUCCCGCCCUCUCCCUCUCCAAUAUCGCUCAUUUGGAGCAUCCCUUCCAACGAGGUAACCGCCACCCCUCCUCCCGUCCCGUCCCGGGCGGACAGUCCUGCCUACAAGUAGUUGGCCAACAGCGGGUACACCGAGCAGAACCACCACGUCCCCGUCGCCUGGAUCCCUUGAAGCCGAUCACACGAUGAAUACAAAAUAACCAGCGAAGCUUUGAGUGCGCCAGGUUCAGAGACAGUUCACCGCGCACAGACGCCUCACCAAGGUCCAGCAGUCCAAACCUCUCCUCUCAGCUGUGUGGCUCAUUAUGUUUUACCGGGAAAUCGGAUCCUCCAGAAAACUGUGUUCAGAGGGAAGAGGACCAGAGGUCAGAGGCUAAAGCACCCACCACAGAGGGACCUUUGAUGCUCCACGGUCAUGACUCUGGCCUCGCACAACGCACGCCCUCCUCCUCCGUCCCUCUGAAGUGGUAUUCAUCCACGCUGAAUAAUGCCUUGUCCCUCACUCUCUCUCUGUCUCUCUGUCGGUCUGUCUCUCUCUCUCUCUGUGUCUCGCUCUCUCUCGCUCUCUCUCUCUCUUCUCUCUCUCAUUUCUUUUACACGAUCAAUCCAAGUUUUGUCAAUUCUAAACUGUAAGGACAUUAUUUGCGAGGACACAAGUAAUUCUUUAUGUGUGUUUCGUACAUAAAAAAAAAAAAAGGCCCACAUGCUUAUUUUUGUCCCUUCUCAGUUUCUGGGAACUGGUGUGUUUCUGCACCCUGAGUCCUGGGGUCUCUGACCCGUCGAAGGAGUUAGGAGUCAGCCUGCUUCCCCUCUCCAACACCCAGUGGUGGAGAGGGGAGGAGAGACCUCCUUCACUAGUGGCUUUCCUCUGGUUUGGCAUACGUCUCAGUGGAAAUCGCAGAACUCCUCCACUGGCUGAGCGGUGGUUUGAGAUGCUGCUGUGAUAUCUCUGGUGUCUGCGUGUUCACGGUUUAUAUUGGCCCUGUGUGGAAUAUGCAUGACGAGGCUUUCUGGUUAGGUUGAAACUCUGAAUGCCUUUCCUCCCGGACCGGUUUUAUCUGUGUUCUCUGAUUGGAUAUUUCAUAUGAAACAAAGUAACAAAGUUACUAGUUGAUAGUUUGAAUCUGGGGUAACGGCAACACCACACUGGAACGAACGGCGUCGCACCCAGAUGGACUGUCUGAACGGGUAACCGGAGACACUCGUUCCCAUGGAAACUAAGCAGCAGGGAGGGAGAUGUUUUAUCGAUUCGUUGUCUGGACGUACAAAUGACAUUCAUGACUGGUCUGGACUAUCUACCACCCACAAAACCGCCUGGAUUAGUUGGAUAUCCGCUGUGCUGAGGACAGAACCAGACAGCCUCAGCCUCCUCCUCUUCACCCCCCUGGGUGCUCCAGGAUUAACCGUGAUGCUCGAGCUCGGUGUUGCCAGAUCAGGCCAGAUUCGCUGCAGCCGGGGUUGCCAGAUUGGGUGGAAAAUCCGUCCCAAUCUGGCAACACUGCUGCCGGUAGAAGGAUAAUAACGAUUCAAAGGGGAACCUGAGGGGUUCUGAAGCCGCCCCCCCCCGGAGCAGCAGUAAACCCCCCCCACCCCGGACUAGGGAUGUUGAACCCCCUCUGUGGAACCAGUCUGGCUCACUGCCCAUGGUGAGCUGCUCCGUGCCCCCCCCUCCCCGCCCCGCCCCAGUGGAGGUAGGGGGCUGGGGGUCAGGGUGUCCUCAUCCUCCCCCUGGAGUCUCCUCGCCAGACUACCAGAUGUCUGGUCCCAGGCCGGGCUAAUCUGCCUCCAGGCACCAAGCUCCUUAUAGACCUUUAACUACAGUCACAUGACGGAGGGCACAUGACCGGGGUCACCUGACGGGCGGUCACAUGACCGGAGUCACCUUCUGCUCCUCAGUCACUCAAUCUGACUGGACCGGCCGUCUGAGUGUCUCUCCCCCUCAUACCUGUGUUCCUCCUCACCCCUGACCCCUGACCCCUCCUCUGAGGAGCUGGAUUAGGGUUCAGAGUGUACCCGUGCGGUGUGUCUCCGCAGUAACGCGGUUGGCGUGGUCAGGGGGCGUGGUCAGAGGCCUCUCUGUGCUAAGCUGUGUCUUGUCUGCGGCAUUGUUUCCUGGAGCCGCCGCGGGCCGGAACAAUCCCCGGUAUGCGGCCGUACAAUGGCUCUCUCUCCGGGCCCUCAGAACAGGUUCAGCAGGACACUCUCAGUUCAGCAGAACACUCUCUCAGUUCAGCAUGGCACUCUCAGUUCAGCAGGACACUCUCAGUUCAGCAGGACACUCUCAGUUCAGCAGGACACUCUCAGUUCAGCAGGACACUCUCAGUUCAGCAGGACACUCUCAGUUCCACUCUUGCUGGGGCAGAGCUCUGAUUGGUGAGGCUCGAAGGCCCAUUGUCUGAUUGGUCAGGUUGUCGGUCAGGUGAGCAGCACCGCUCUGAACAGGAGCCUCCAGGUGAUGACAGGCAGCCAAUAGUUGGAGAGCAAUGGGGAGGAGGGCAGGAAGAGGGAUCUCUAAUGGGUCUCACUCCGCCGCAAAAUCGGAGCCGUUCCGGGCUAGUUCGGAGCAAGAGCCAGUGUUUUGGUUUCACAUCGCUAGAGAACCGGCUCCGGCCUGUAAAAGCCGGUUAAACUCCAACCCCAGGAUUGAGCUGGGCUAGAACGAGAACUGCCUUUACGCCAGGGGCAGGGGGCGGGGGCAGGGUUAUCCUUACCUUCAUAAACAGGAAGUCCAACGAAGACCGGCAUUUUUAAAAACACCGAAGUGAACAAUGGACGUGAACGCGUGUAUGGUUCGUUCUUUGAAUAUUCCGAUUUAAAACAAAAUCAGAAAAAAACUUAACAGUCGUCUUUUGGUUUUUCUGAUUUGGUUUUGAAACUGAAAAAGGGCAAAAGGAAUAAAAAUCUGUGUUUGUUUUUUAGAUUUUUUUUAAAUCGGAAUAUUCAAAGAACGAACCAUACACGGAUUGACGUGAAGACGAAAUUAUUGUUGUUGUGUUUGAAACUGG
ensembl:lncRNA